rnacentral:lncRNA from 1 species
AUGUGUUAUAAUGCACUGUUUUUCCAGGUAUUAUCUGUUUCAGAGCAGAACCUGCUUGAAUCACAAUGUGGCUUCCGACCAGAUCGCAGCACCAUCGACAUGGUCUUCAUGGUGAGGCAAAUGCAGGAAAAAUGCCUUGAGCAGAACCUGAGUCUCUACAUUGUCUUCAUAGACCUGACAAAGGCGUUCGACAUAGUGAACAGGGACGCAUUGUGGGUGAUCCUCAGCAAGCUUGGUUGCCCAGCAAAAUUCGUCAAACUGAUCCAGCUCUUUCAUGUCGACAUGACAGGGGAAGUCCUAUCUGAUGGAGAGACUUCUGAUUGCUUCACCAUCUCCAAUGGCAUGAAACAAGGCUGCGUCCUUGCUCCGGUACUAUUCAACCUAUACUUCACCCAAGUAUUACGACAUGCUGUGAUGGAUCUAAAUCUGGGCGUCUACAUCAAAUAUGGACUGGAUGGCUCACUAUUCGACCUUCGCCACCUGACUGCAAAAACAAAGACAACAGAGAGACUCAUCCUGGAAGCUCUCUUUGCAGAUGACUGUGCUCUCAUGGCCCACCAAGAAAAUCAUCUUCAAACCAUUGUGGACAGGUUCUCUACCACAACAAAACUGUUUGGCCUGACUAUCAGCCUCAGCAAAACAGAGGUGCUGUUCCAACCUGUACCAGGUAGGCCAACGAACCAGCCGUGCAUUACAAUAGACGGCAUGCAGCUUUCUAACGUCAACACUUUCAAGUACCUGGGCAGCACCAUUGCCAACGACGGGUCCCUAGACCACGAGAUUAAUGCCAGGAUCCAAAAGGCCAGCCAGGCACUCGGGCAGCUGCGCUCCAAAGUCCUCCAACACAGUGGUGUAAGCACUGCGACGAAGCUCAAAGUGUACAAUGCAGUGGUCCUCAGCUCGCUCCUGUAUGGUUGUGAGACAUGGACACUGUACCGGAAGCACAUGAAACAGCUGGAGCAAUUCCACCAACGCUCCCUCCGGUCAGUCAUGAGGAUCCGAUGGCAGGACCGAAUCACCAACCAGGAAGUCCUCAACAGAGCCAACUCCACCAGCAUAGAAGUAAUGGUCCUCAAAACCCAGCUAAGACAGGUUGGUGAACUGUCAGCUGGACUCAGGAAACAAGGCCAACCAAAGAAAAGAUUCAAGGAUCAGCUAAAGUCCAACUUGAAGUGGGCUGGCAUUACACCAAAGCAACUAGAACUCGCUGCCUCUGACAGAAGCAGCUGGCGAACCCACAUUAACCAUGCUGCCAUCACCUUUGAAGAUGAGCGAUGUCAAUGUCUUGCCACUGUGCAUGAACGCCGACACCAGGCCACAACCGCACCUCCCGUAACAACUGGCGUCCCAUGCCCCAAGUGCCACAAACUCUGCGCCUCAGUCUUUGGACUCCAAAGCCAUAUGAGGGUACACCAUGAAAACGCACAAAGACAAUUGUCAUUCUCGGUCACCAAGAGACUACUACAGAUCUGA